rnacentral:rRNA from 1 species
AUUGAACGCUGGCGGCAUGCCUUACACAUGCAAGUCGAACGGUAACAGGUCUUCGGAUGCUGACGAGUGGCGAACGGGUGAGUAAUACAUCGGAACGUGCCCGAUCGUGGGGGAUAACGAAGCGAAAGCUUUGCUAAUGCCGCAUAAGAUCUACGGAUGAAAGCAGGGGACCGCAAGGCCUUGCGCGAACGGAGCGGCCGAUGGCAGAUUAGGUAGUUGGUGGGAUAAAAGCUUACCAAGCCGACGAUCUGUAGCUGGUCUGAGAGGACGACCAGCCACACUGGAAAGGAGACACGGCCCAGACUCCUACGGGAGGCAGCAGUGGGGAAUUUUGGACAAUGGGCGAAAGCCUGAUCCAGCCAUGCCGCGUGCAGGAUGAAGGCCUUCGGGUUGUAAACUGCUUUUGUACGGAACGAAAAGACUCUUUCUAAUAAAGAGGGUCCAUGACGGUACCGUAAGAAUAAGCACCGGCUAACUACGUGCCAGCCGCCGCAGUAA